rnacentral:rRNA from 1 species
GACGAGCCUUGCUAACGUUAUUCGGAAUUACUGGGCUUAAAGGGUGCGUAGGCUGUGCAGACAGUUGGGUGUGAAAUCCCUCGGCUUAACCGAGGAAUUGCGCUCAAAACUACUGUGCUAGAGGAAUACAGAGGUAAGCGGAACUUCGGGUGGAGCGGUGAAAUGCGUUGAUAUCCGAAGGAACACCGGUGGCGAAAGCGGCUUACUGGGUAUUUUCUGACGCUGAUGCACGAAAGCUAGGGUAGCGAACGGG